rnacentral:tRNA from 1 species
GGUGGUUCAGUGAUAGAGCACUUGCCUUGCACGCAUGAGGCCUGGGUUCGAUUCCUCAGUACCA